rnacentral:tmRNA from 1 species
GGGGGCGAUUCUGGCUUCGACGUGGAUCACGAAACCUAAGGAGCAUGUAGUGCGUUUAGUGAGCACUUAAACACUAUCUAAAAAACUUUAGUUGCCAAUGAUGACAACUACGCUCUAGCUGCUUAAUAAGCAUCACUAGACUCCUGACCUUUCCUCGCCUGUAGGGCAAGUGUUCGGGAUCAUUUAUACGGGAUCGCGGUGAAGUACGUCUGGGACGGAGCCGUUAAAACUUUUACCGGAAUCGCUCUUUUCAAUCCUGUCUAGUGGUUAGAUAAGAGUUAAAUUAAUAGCUAGACUAAACAUGUAGCGCCUUCAGAUGGACUAUUUGCGGACGCGGGUUCGAUCCCCGCCGCCUCCACCA